CUACCAGAAAGUAAGGGACACGUGGAACUUUCUGAAGGGAGAAAUCUAUUCAGAGAACAGAUGUGGUAGUGGGAGUCAGCUUCCAGCAGGUGAUGCAGAGUGCUGAGACAGAUGACGACAGGCUGGGCUUCAGUUCCCUCACCUGGAGAGUGAUGAGAACACCAGCGCAAAAUUCCAGGGCCAUUGGGAAGAUGGAAUGAAAUAGUACAUGUAAUGGCUCGCAUCCAUAGUGCCUGGAACAUAACAAAUGCUCGUAAAGGAACAGAUUGCUCAAAAAUCAGACGACUGUUGGGUGAAAUGCGAGUGGGGAAAGGAGUGAGAUGAAGGGAACAGAGCCCUUCCAAACUCGCCCUUCAGCCUUCCUACCCAAUCAGAAAGGAAAUCAGUCAUGCCCACAAUCCUGCCAAUAACACAGUGUAGCGGCUGCAUUCUUUGGACCAAUGACAGUGAGCUGUAGAAGAAAUCUCAUUUGGAGAAGAGAUGGGGGCUUGUGUUUACUGAACAUCUACUACGAAUCAGGCCCUGUGCUUUUUUUUGCAUCUGUUCUCUUCUAAAGGGGAAUCAGGAUCCUGGCUGAGGGACCCUGGACUAUUUCACCUUUCAGGAUCUCAGUUUCUUUAGACCAAAAACACUAACUCUUAUUUUUUUGUUGCACUUUUUUAAAAAAAAUUAAACUUUAAGUUCUGGGGUACAUGUGCAGAAUGUGCAGGUUUGUUACAUAGGUAUACAAGUGCCAUGGUGGUUUGCUGCACCCAUCAACCCAUCAUCUACACUAGAUAUUUCAACUGAUGCUAUCCCUCCCCUAGCCCCCCAACCCCAAGACAGGCCCCAGUGUGUGAUGUUCCCUUCCCUGUGUCCAUGUGUUCUCAUUGUUCAGCUCCCACUUAUGAGUGAGAACAUGUGGUGUUUGGUUUUCUGUUCUUGUGUUAAUUUGCUGAGAAAGAUGGUUUCCAGCUUCAUCCAUGUCCCUGCAAAGGACAUGAACUCAUCCUUUUUAAUGGCUGCAUAGUAUUCCAUGGUGCAUAUCUGCCACAUUUUCUUUAUCCAGUCUAUCAUUGAUAGGCAUAAUUCCUAUUCUUUAAAAAAUUUUUUUUUGUAGAGAUGGGGUCUUGGUAUGUUUCCCAGGCUGGUCUCAAACUCCUGGGCUCAAGUGA
rnacentral:lncRNA from 10 species